UACGUAGGGUGCGAGCGUUAAUCGGAAUUACUGGGCGUAAAGCGUGCGCAGGCGGUUAUGUAAGACAGAUGAUCGAACCCGGUCAACCUGGGAACUGCAUUUGUGACUGCAUGGCUAGAGUACGGUAGAGGGGGAUGGAAUUCCGGCGUGUAGCAGUGAAAUGCGUAGAUAUGCGGAGGAACACCGAUGGCGAAGGCAAUCCCCUGGACCUGUACUGACGCUCAUGCACGAAAGCGUGGGGAGCAAACAGGAUUAGAUACCCCUGUAGUCC
rnacentral:rRNA from 1 species